GAGUGUGUGUGCACAUUGGCAGAAGAGAGAGAAAUGGUUUACUGGUGGAGUGCACAGAAUGUGGAGAAACUUUCCACAUUCAACCACUACAGGCCUCACUACAGGGGAACACCUAAUUUAAGUGUUAGUAUGACAAACGCAGGAACUUGGACUCUCUAGAGGGAAUUACAGAAGAGCUGGGCAGUGAAGUGAAGAAGAAAAAAAAACAAUAUUCUGCACAUUAAUUUCAACCAGGAGCAGCAAAACCUCACCAAACAUGAAGAGGAAUGUCUAUCAAAAGGCCCUUGUAGCAUGCAAAUGGGCACGUUUCAGUUAGCUACUACGUCUUAAUGAAUGCAGAUGAUCCUGGCUUGGUCCUAGUAUUAAGAAUUUGACCCAAAUGUUUCUACGUACAUCUGUUAUGAUAUGGCGAGCAGAUGGAGAAAGCCAAGUCUUGCUGACAGGCUGAAGGAUCCAAAAGUCUGAACCCAAUGAUGGCUUGGAAAAAGCAGAGAGUAAAAGCUGUCAGAGAUUGCGAAGAGGACAGGCAUUAGCAGGGAAGUGGAGCUAAAACUACACCUUCAAGCUCCCAUCAUAAAGAUAUGAUAUAAAGAAGCAACCCUGAAUGAUUUUAAGGACACCAUGAUUUUAACAAUCAUCAGAAAAUGGUACAAAUACAACUGGAAAUUACAGAGGGAUCCCUCCACUAUACAUCAGUGAGAAUACAUUUU